rnacentral:rRNA from 1 species
CAAGGAAUUUUCCGCAAUGGGCGAAAGCCUGACGGAGCAACGCCGCGUGUGGGAUGACGCCUUUCGGGGUGUAAACCACUUUUCUUGGGGACGACGAACGACGGUACCCGAGGAAGAAGGACCGGCUAACUACGUGCCAGCAGCCGCGGUAAUACGUAGGGUCCGAGCGUUGUCCGGAGUUACUGGGCGUAAAGCGCGCGCAGGCGGCUGGACAAGCCUGGCGUGAAAGCCCCCGGCUCAACCGGGGAGGGUCGUCGGGGACUGUCGAGCUUGAGGACGGCAGGGGUCGGUGGAACGCCCGGUGUAGUGGUGAAAUGCGUAGAGAUCGGGCAGAACACCUGUGGCGAAGGCGGCCGACUGGGCCGGACCUGACGCUGAGGCGCGAAGGCGUGGGGAGCGAACGGGAUUAGAUACCCCCGUAGUCC